AAGUGUAACCUGCAUGCGAACAGCUGUGUGUUUGAUAAGGAGAAGCUGAGCUGUGAGUGUGAGCACAACACCACGGGGCCCGACUGCGGACGCUGCAAGAGGAACUACCAGGGACGAGCCUGGAGCCCCGGGAGCUACCUGCCUAUACCUAAAGGCACGGCUAAUAUCUGUGUGCCGAAUAACGUGGGUCCAGUGAUCCGGCAGAAUGUUUCAUCUCUAGGUGUUGCUAACCGAAAUCAAG